rnacentral:lncRNA from 1 species
GUUGCUUGAUAUCUAAGCGUGGUGUAGCUGCAGUGCCUUAUCUUUAUUCUUUGGUGCCUGACGGAUAUCAUUCUGUAUUCAGUAUGGUACAAAUAUUUCUUACGGUGCACCAGCUUGCAAAAAGGUUUAUGACCACCUACUAUCGGCGGAUCAUGUUAUUAAAUUUGGCAUCUGUUCUGUCCACGAGAUUGGAUUGUCAGAUGGUGUUCUCUUCAUUUAUUGGCCAUUUUGGCAUUAUCUUUUAUAGAAACCUGC